UUUCCGUAGGUGAACCUGCGGAAGGAUCAUUCAUAAUAAAGUGUUUUAUGGCACUUUUUAAAAAUCCAUAUCCACCUUGUGUGCAAUGUUAGAUCUCGUCAAUCUUGGCGAGAUUUUUAUACACCAACUCAUUCUUUAACUAAUUUGUCUGAAAAAUAUUAUGAAUACUUAAUUCAAAAUACGACUUUCAACAACGGAUCUCUUGGCUCUC
rnacentral:misc_RNA from 1 species